CCUACGGGAGGCUGCAGUGGGGGAUAUUGGACAAUGGGGGAAACCCUGAUCCAGCGACGCAGCGUGAGUGAAGAAGUAUUUCGGUAUGUAAAGCUCUAUCAGCAGGGAAGAAAGAAAUGACGGUACCUGAGUAAGAAGCCCCGGCUAACUACGUGCCAGCAGCCGCGGUAAUACGGAGGGGGCAAGCGUUAUCCGGAAUUACUGGGUGUAAAGGGAGCGUAGGCGGUAAUGCAAGUCUGGUGUGAAAGGCGGGGGCCCAACCCCCGGACUGCUCUGGAAACUGUGUAACUGGAGUGUAGGGGAGGCAGGCGGAAUUCCUGGUGUAGCGGUGAAAUGCGUAGAUAUUAGGAGGAACACCAGUGGCGAAGGCGGCCUGCUGGACUGUAACUGACGUUGAGGCUCGAAAGCGUGGGGAGCAAACAGGAUUAGAUACCCGAGUAGUC
rnacentral:rRNA from 1 species